AACAGGUGUAGACGUUACAGUGAAAUGCUGAAUACAACAGGUGUAGACGUUACAGUGAAAUGUUGAAUACAACAGGUGUAGACGUUACAGUGAAAUGCUGAAUACAACAGGUGUAGACGUUACAGUGAAAUGCUGAAUACAACAGGUGUAGACGUUACAGUGAAAUGUUGAAUACAACAGGUGUAGACGUUACAGUGAAAUGUUGAAUACAACAGGUGUAGACGUUACAGUGAAAUGUUGAAUACAACAGGUGUAGACGUUACAGUGAAAUGUUGAAUACAACAGGUGUAGACGUUACAGUGAAAUGUUGAAUACAACAGGUGUAGACGUUACAGUGAAAUGCUGAAUACAACAGGUGUAGACGUUACAGUGAAAUGUUGAAUACAACAGGUGUAGACGUUACAGUGAAAUGCCGAAUACAACAGGUGUAGACGUUACAGUGAAAUGUUGAAUACAACAGGUGUAGACGUUACAGUGAAAUGCUGAAUACAACAGGUGUAGACGUUACAGUGAAAUGUUGAAUACAACAGGUGUAGACGUUACAGUGAAAUGCUGAAUACAACAGGUGUAGACGUUACAGUGAAAUGUUGAAUACAACAGGUGUAGACGUUACAGUGAAAUGUUGAAUACAACAGGUGUAGACGUUACAGUGAAAUGUUGAA